rnacentral:rRNA from 1 species
GACGAACGCUGGCGGCGUGCUUAACACAUGCAAGUCGAACGGAAAGGCCCUGCUUGCAGGGUGCUCGAGUGGCGAACGGGUGAGUAACACGUGGGUGAUCUGCCCCUUACUUUGGGAUAAGCCUGGGAAACUGGGUCUAAUACUGGAUAGGACCAUGCUGUAGGCGGUGUGGUGGAAAGAUUAGUUUCGGUGAGGGAUGAGCUCGCGGCCUAUCAGCUUGUUGGUGGGGUAAUGGCCUACCAAGGCGUCGACGGGUAGCCGGCCGGAGAGGGUGGACGGCCACAUUGGGACUGAGAUACGGCGCAGAAGCCUACGGGAGGCAGCAGUGGGGGAGAUUGCACAAUAGGCGCAAGCCGGAUGCAGCGACGCCGCGUGGUGGAUGACGGCCUUCGGGUUGUAAACUCCUUUCAGCCAUGACGAAGCCCUUGUGGUGACGGUAGUGGGAGAAGAAGCACCGGCUAACUACGUG